GGGGCAGCGGGGAGGAAGCUUGCUUUCUCCGCCGGCGACCGGCGCACGGGUGAGUAACACGUAUGCAACCUGCCCCUGUCAGGGGGACAACCCGCCGAAAGGCGGGCUAAACCCGCGUACAUGCCACCGGGGCAUCCCGGAGGCAGGAAAGGCUUCGGCCGGACAGGGAUGGGCAUGCGGCGCAUUAGGCAGUAGGCGGGGUAACGGCCCACCUAACCGACGAUGCGUAGGGGUUCUGAGAGGAAGGUCCCCCACACUGGUACUGAGACACGGACCAGACUCCUACGGGAGGCAGCAGUGAGGAAUAUUGGUCAAUGGUCGGGAGACUGAACCAGCCAAGCCGCGUGAGGGAGGAAGGUACAGAGUAUCGUAAACCUCUUUUGUCAGGGAACAAAGGCGGGGACGUGUCCCCGGAUGAGUGUACCUGAAGAAAAAGCAUCGGCUAACUCCGUGCCAGCAGCCGCGGUAAUACGGAGGAUGCGAGCGUUAUCCGGAUUUAUUGGGUUUAAAGGGUGCGCAGGCGGUCUGUUAAGUCAGCGGUCAAAGCCCGGGGCUCAACCCCGGCCCGCCGUUGAAACUGGCAGUCUCGAGUUGGAGAGAAGUAUGCGGAAUGCGCGGUGUAGCGGUGAAAUGCAU
rnacentral:rRNA from 1 species